rnacentral:rRNA from 1 species
UACGUAGGGGGCAAGCGUUGUCCGGAUUUAUUGGGCGUAAAGAGCUCGUAGGUGGUUCGGUAAGUCGGAUGUGAAAUCUCCAGGCUCAACCUGGAGGGGUCAUUCGAUACUGCCGUGACUAGAGUUCGGUAGGGGAGUGUGGAAUUCCUGGUGGAGCGGUGAAAUGCGCAGAUAUCAGGAGGAACACCCGUAGCGAAGGCGGCACUCUGGGCCGAUGACUGACACUGAGGAGCGAAAGCGUGGGGAGCGAACAGG